rnacentral:sRNA from 1 species
UAAACUAAUAGUAUAGAUUAGUUGCAGAGUUUAUGGGGAUUCUUUGAUUAAUUGUUCAAAAGUUCAGUGCAAAUCUGAGUAAUUAGCUUAGCUAGCUUGGAUUUGUUGGUUGGUUAUGACUGGUUCUUGAAUUGGCGGGAGUAGCUUUCAGUAUGGUUCGCAGCUGUUGCUGCAGCAGUUAACAUUUACUACUUCUACUCCAGUACUCACCGUAUUUAAGCUAGCUGAACUGGCAACCUAAUCAGUGGCUGACCAACUUGGCAGACAUUGCCAGCAAGCUGCGACUACUGUCAAAACUACUUCCUCUGUCCCAAAAUAAAUCAAAACAAAUCAAUCUAGAACGGGUAAUAUAUCAUAAUACUAUGAAUCUUUGGUUUAUUUUGGGGCCGAGAGAGUAUAACUACUAGCACUAGUGUAACCGUUGAUUUGAGAAACCAUCACAAGAUUCAUGGCACCUACUAGAAGGAUUAGCGGACACUUGCUGUCCGGAUCAGGUAGCUAGUGUGAGGGUGGUUAGGCAAUUAUCCUGCAGUGAAACACCUCAGUUCAGUACGCACAGGGCUGGGCAUGGAGGUUUUUCACGCGGUGGCCGUGUAUUGUGCCGUGAGCCGGUGGGACUGUUCUUGAAUUCUUAGCGGUACAGGUUCACACAAAGCUAGUGAUGCGGUUUUGAGGGUUAACCGUUUCUCCUUUUUUUCUUUUGCCUUUGGAAAUGGCCAGGUGUUUAUUCAGAUAUCCUGGGAAAUGACCAUGUUUUUUAUUGAUAACUGAAGAGUUGAGAUGAUCAAAUCAAUCUUAUGAAAUGAGUAACAGUAGAGAUGAUGAUACCGACCGGUGCUAGAACAUGUAGAAAUCAAUUGGGGCUUGUAAAAGUAACAAAAGUAACAAUUUUACUCCACUGCAGAGAGGCUAUACAGUCUGGUAAAAUCAUUCAUUGCUCCACCUUCACCAGAUCUCUGAAUCUAGAGUGAUGGUAUGAAAAAAGUGCUCUCUGAAUCUGCCAACAUGUCUCUACAGACUACAGUAUUUGUGUACCAUGGCUUCUCUGCUAGAUUAAUUGACCAUUGACAGACCCAGCCCUUUUUCUGGAGUAACACAACCCCACCAACAUUUACAAAGAUUCAGCACAGUAGUAGUACUGUACUGUAGUAGUACUUGUAGUAUCAUACAGUA